AAAUCACAAACCCAAAUCUAUAAAAUUUCUCUAAAAAAUGAAAACUUUCCAAAAAUAGCAGCUUUUAAGAAAUUUUUUAAAAAUACAAUAUAUUGAUAAAAAACUCUGAAAGACUAUUCAUAUAUCCACCAAUAUUCUUGUUAUCCUAAUUUCUAAAUCACAAACUCAAAUCUAUAAAAGGUCUCUAGAAAAUGAAAAGUUUCAAAAAAUAGCAGUUAUUAAGAAAAUUAUUUAAAAAUACAAUAUAUUGAUAAAAAACUCUGAAAAAUACUCAUCUAUCCACAAAUAUUCUUUUUAUCCUAAUUUAAAAAUAAACAAACUCAAAUCUAUAAAAGUUGUCUAAGAAAUGAAAACUUUCCAAAAAUAGCAGUUUUUAAGAAAAUUAUUUAAAAAUACAACUUAUUCAUGAAAAAUUCAGAAAGAAUACUAAUCUAAACACAAAUAUUCUUGUUAUUCUAAUUUCUAAAUCACAAACCCAAAUCUAUAAAAUUUCUCUAAAACAUUAAAACUUUCUAAAAAUACCAGCUUUUAAGAAAAUUAUUUAAAAAUACAAUAUAUUGAUGAAAAAUUUUGAAUGAAUAUUCAUAUAUCCACAAAUAUUAUUGUUAUCCUAAUUUUUAAAUCACAAACUGAAAUCUCUAAAAGUUCUCUAAAAAAAUGAAAACAUUACAAAAUAGCAGUUUUUAAGAAAAUUAUUUAAAAAUACAACUUAUUCAUGAAAUACUUUGAAAUCAUACUCAUUUAUCCACAAAUAUAUUUGUUAUCCAAAUUUCUAAAUCACAAACUCAAAUCUAUAAAAGUUCUCUAAAAAAUGAAAACUUUCGAAAAAUAACAGCUUUUAAGAUAAUUAUUUUAAAAAAUAAUAUAAUGAUGAAAAAUUCUGAAAGAAUACUCAUCUAUCCAUAAAUAUAUUUGUUAUCCUAAUGUGUAAAUCACAAACCCAAAUCUAUAAAAUUUCUCUAAAAAAUGAAAACUUUCCAAAAAUAGCAGCUUUUAAGAUAAUUAUUUUAAAAAAUAAUAUAAUGAUGAAAAAUUCUGAAAGAAUACUCAUCUAUCCACAAAUAUAUUUGUUAUCCUAAUUUAAAAAUCACAAACUCAAAACUAUAAAGGUUCUCUAAGAAAUGAAAACUUUCCAAAAAUAGCAAUUUUUAAGAAAAUUAUUUAAAAAUACAGCUUAUUCAUGAAAAAUUCAGAAAGAAUACUAAUCUGAACACAAAUAUUCUUGUUAUCCUAAUUUCUAAAUCACAAACCCAAAUCUAUAAAAGUUUUCUUAAAAAUGAAAACUUUCCAAAAAGAGCAGUUUUUAAGAAAAUUAUUUUAAAAUACAAUAUAUUGAUGAAAAAUUCUGAAAGAAUACUAAUCGAAACACAAAUAUUCUUGUUAUCUUAAUUUCUAAAUCACAAACUCAAAUCUAUAAAAGUUUUCUUAAAAAUGAAAACUUUCCAAAAAUAGCAGUUUUUAAGAAAAUUAUUUAAAAAUACAACUUAUUCAUGAAAAACUCUGAAAGAAUACUCAUCUGUCCACAAAUAUUCUUGUUAUCCUAAUUUCUAAAUCACAAACUCAAAUGAAUAAAAGUUCUCUAAAAAAUGAAAACUUUCCAAAAAUAACAGCUUUUAAAAUAAUUAUUUAAAAAAAUAAUAUAUUGAUGAAAAACUCUAAAAGAAUACGCAUCUAUCCACAAAUAUUCUUGUUAUCCUAAUUCCUAAAUCACAAACUCAAAUGUAUAAAAGUUCUCUAAGAAAUGAAAACUUUCCAAAAACAGCAGUUUUUAAGAAAAUUAUUUAAAAAUACAACUUAUUCAUGAAAAAUUCUGAAAGAAUACUAAUCUAAACACAUAUAUUCUUGUUAUCCUAAUUUCUAAAUCACAAACUCAAAUCUAUAAAAGUUUUCUUAAAAAUAAAAACUUUCCAAAAAUAGCAGUUUUAAAGAAAAUUAUUAAAAAAUACAACUUAUUCAUGAAAAACUCAGAAAGAAUACUCAUCUGUCCACAAAUAUUCUUGUUAUCCUAAUUUCUAAAUCACAAACUCAAAUAUAUAAAAGGUCUCUAAAAAAUGAAAAGUUUCCAAAAAUGGCAGUUUUUAAGAAAAUUAUUUAAAAAUACAA
rnacentral:lncRNA from 1 species